rnacentral:RNase_P_RNA from 1 species
GGAGGUAGCAAGCUUAUGUAUACGGGCAAACAUACGAAAAGAUAUCAUUCUUUAAUACAACCCGUGGGAAGGUCUGAGAAAAGCCGCUAAUGUCUUUGCUGGACAAUCUGUGAAAACGGAGGCAGUGCUACCAGAAAAUCUAACCUCUUGUUUCCUUACCUUUGAAGAAUUUUAUAUUCUGAUGGGUAUUCUGGGGAGACGAGAGGAUUAUUGUAACGGUCUGCGGGCGGAAAUGCUAUGAAGUGCAAUACAUGAGGCUGGUUUUACCAGUAACUCAAUUCAGACUACUCUGUUUCCUCC